AGUGAACGCUGGCGGUAGGCCUAACACAUGCAAGUCGAACGGCAGCACAGUAAGAGCUUGCUCUUACGGGUGGCGAGUGGCGGACGGGUGGGGAAUACAUCGGAAUCUACUUUUUCGUGGGGGAUAACGUAGGGAAACUUACGCUAAUACCGCAUACGACCUACGGGUGAAAGCAGGGGAUCUUCGGACCUUGCGCGAUUGAAUGAGCCGAUGUCGGAUUAGCUAGUUGGCGGGGUAAAGGCCCACCAAGGCGACGAUCCGUAGCUGGUCUGAGAGGAUGAUCAGCCACACUGGAACUGAGACACGGUCCAGACUCCUACGGGGGGCAGCAGUGGGGAAUAUUGGACAAUGGGCGCAAGCCUGAUCCAGCCAUACCGCGUGGGUGAAGAAGGCCUUCGGGUUGUAAAGCCCUUUUGUUGGGAAAGAAAAGCAGCAGGUUAAUACCACGCUGUUCUGACGGUACCCAAAGAAUAAGCACCGGCUAACUUCGUG
rnacentral:rRNA from 1 species